AUGUCUUCCUCCACCUCCUCCUUCCAGCCAACCCUCAACAGAGGAGUCACGGAGAAACUCUCCCGCACCAACUACAUCCUGUGGCGGACACAGAUCACACCGCAGCUGCGGGGCGCCGAUGUCUUCCACUAUGUCAACAACACGGCGACCGAGACGGCCAAAACCCACGUCACAAAAGAUGCCGCUGGGAAGGAAACCGGGGGGCUGAAUCCUCUCCAUCCGCUCUGGGUGAAGGAGGAUCAGCAGGUCCUUGGAUAUCUGCUCUAA
rnacentral:rRNA from 1 species